GCUGCUCUGGGUGGAACACUAAGGAGGAAUUUGCUGGUUACCUCAGCUCUGAUGGGUGCAAAGCAACUGACGUUCUGGAAACUAGAAGCAGCCUGACCGUAUCUUGCAUGAUUCUGACACGAUCUGAGCAAUCACUUUUGUUGAAGGAGACAUCAUGCAUAGAAGAAAACCAUUUCAUAUGCCAGACAGAGGAAAGGAAUUGUGGUUUAGAAGGCCAUGAAACAUCCGUCAUUUUUCUCCAAGGACAAGAUAUGCAGGGUUUACAUGUCAAGAAAAGAAAAAGGUCAACAGAGCCAGAAAUUCCAG